GGUUCGAUGGUGUAGUUGGUUAUCACGUCUGUCUCACAUUAUCAGCCCAGGCUUGGGUUUGUGGCGCACAGGAGGUCUCCGGUUCGAACCCGGGUCGAACCA